GCCUGAGUGGUGAAAUGGCAGACGCGCUGGACUCAAAAUCCAGUGUCCGUGAGGACGUGUCGGUUCGACCCCGACCUCAGGCACCA
rnacentral:tRNA from 1 species